AUUGAACGCUGGCGGCAUGCUUUACACAUGCAAGUCGAACGGUAACAGGCCGCAAGGUGCUGACGAGUGGCGAACGGGUGAGUAAUGCAUCGGAACGUGCCCAGUCGUGGGGGAUAACGCAGCGAAAGUUGCGCUAAUACCGCAUACGAUCUAUGGAUGAAAGCGGGGGACCGUAAGGCCUCGCGCGAUUGGAGCGGCCGAUGCCCGAUUAGGUAGUUGGUGGGGUAAAGGCUCACCAAGCCGACGAUCUGUAGCUGGUCUGAGAGGACGACCAGCCACACUGGGACUGAGACACGGCCCAGACUCCUACGGGAGGCAGCAGUGGGGAAUUUUGGACAAUGGGCGCAAGCCUGAUCCAGCAAUGCCGCGUGCAGGAAGAAGGCCUUCGGGUUGUAAACUGCUUUUGUACGGAACGAAACGGUCCUGGUUAAUACCCGGGGCUAAUGACGGUACCGUAAGAAUAAGCACCGGCUAACUACGUGCCAGCAGCCGCGGUAAUAC
rnacentral:rRNA from 1 species